UCCGGGUUAAGGGAAGGAAACCCCGGAAACUGGGGAUAAUACCUCAUAGACCAGGGAUGCUGGAAUGCUUUCUGGUCGAAAGGUCCGCCGCCUCAGGAUGGGUCUGCGGCCGAUUAGGUUGUUGUUGGGGUAACGGCCAACAAGCCUUUGAUCGGUACGGGUUGUGGGAGCAAGAGCCCGGAGAUGGAUUCUGAGACACGAAUCCAGGCCCUACGGGGCGCAGCAGGCGCGAAAACUUUACAAUGCGAGAAAUCGUGAUAAGGGAACCCCGAGUGCCCGUAAAUCCGGGCUGUCCAUCAGUGUAAAUAACUGGUGAAGAAAGGGCCGGGCAAGACCGGUGCCAGCCGCCGCGGUAAUACCGGCGGCUCGAGUGGUGGCCGCUAUUACUGGGCUUAAAGCGUUCGUAGCUGGGCUGUUAAGUCCCCUGGGAAAUCCACCGGCUCAACCGAUGGGCGUUCAGGGGAUACUGGCAGCCUAGGGACCGGGAGAGGUGAGGGGUACUCCAGGGGUAGGAGUGAAAUCCUGUAAUCCUUGGGGGACCACCUGUGGCGAAGGCGUCUCACUAGAACGGCUCCGACAGUGAGGAACGAAAGCUGGGGGAGCAAACCGGAUUAGAUACCCGGGUAGUCCCAGCUGUAAACGAUGCGCGUUAGGUGUAUCGGUGACCACGAGUCACCGAGGUGCCGAAGAGAAAUCGUGAAACGUGCCGCCUGGGAAGUACGGUCGCAAGGCUGAAACUUAAAGGAAUUGGCGGGGGAGCAC
rnacentral:rRNA from 1 species